UACGUAGGGGGCAAGCGUUGUCCGGAAUCAUUGGGCGUAAAGAGCGCGUAGGCGGCCCUGUAAGUCCGCUGUGAAAGUCAAGGGCUCAACCCUUGAAUGCCGGUGGAUACUGCAGGGCUAGAGUCCGGAAGAGGCGAGUGGAAUUCCUGGUGUAGCGGUGAAAUGCGCAGAUAUCAGGAAGAACACCCGUGGCGAAGGCGGCUCUCUGGAACGCAACUGACGCUGAGACGCGAAAGCGUGGGGAGCAAACAGG
rnacentral:rRNA from 1 species